rnacentral:rRNA from 1 species
GACGAACGCUGGCGGCGUGCUUAACACAUGCAAGUCGAACGGAAAGGCCCCCACUUUUUUGGUGGGGGUGCUCGAGUGGCGAACGGGUGAGUAACACGUGGGUGAUCUGCCCUGUACUUCGGGAUAAGCUUGGGAAACUGGGUCUAAUACCGGAUAGGACCAUGGUUUAGUGUCUCAUGGUGGAAAAAUUAUUGUUUUGGUGCAGGAUGAGCUCGCGGCCUAUCAGCUUGUUGGUGGGGUAAUGGCCUACCAAGGCGUCGACGGGUAGCCGGCCUGAGAGGGUGGACGGCCACAUUGGGACUGAGAUACGGCCCAGACUCCUACGGGGGGCAGCAGUGGGGAAUAUUGCACAAUGGGCGCAAGCCUGAUGCAGCGACGCCGCGUGGGGGAUGACGGCCGUCGGGUUGUAAACUCCUUUCGUUAGGGACGAAGCCGCACCUUUUUUGGGUGUGGUGACGGUACCUUUGUUAAGAAGCACCGGCUAACUACGUG